rnacentral:tRNA from 1 species
GGAGUUGUGGCUCAGUGGUAGAGCACUUGCCUGGCAUGUGUGAGGCCCUGGGUUCAAUCCUCAGCCCCA